AGCGACGUUACUGCGUACAUCUUUUUCAUCUCUGGACAUUACGACCAAACUACAAGGGAUGGAUCAAAAUGAAGAGCAAGCGAUGCUGAGUAUCUCUCCUUCCAAGCAACGUGUGCAGAGCUCGGUCUCUGCACCACCAUCAACAGCAAGCCCACAACAAGCUCCAAGAACAAAAAGAGGUUUAUUUUUAUUUUUCAUUCCUGAUGUCAUCAGCUGACAACUCUGGGACCAUGAAUUAUUUUCCCAAAAUUAAGCAUGACUUUCUGUCACAUGUUGGCCAUGUUCUGGUCGGACCAUGUUCUGGUCUGUUUGUCUUUGCUCUUCUACAUGUUGUCCUAGUGACUAUGAAUUGAAACCAGUCAUGUUGAGGUAAGUUACUGCUUUUGUUCUUAUUUGGAUUGAAUGAAAAGUACACAUUUAAACUGCUGUGGUCACUAACACUUGAACACAUGUGUUUGCAGUGUACCAAGUUAAUUCACCUGCUCAGACUGAGUUGUAAUGACUGAAUGCUGAAUAUUAAUCCAAACAAAAGUAAUGCAUGUGUAUGAACUAAAUGUAUUCUCUAAACAUUAAUAUGAGAAACAGUGUGUUUCACUUUAUGAGAUCAGCAGGUGGAGUAAAGAUGGGUGAUGUUUGGUCUUACUAACAUAAUGACUUAUUUCUAUAUUGCCAUAAUAUGAAUAAACUGACACACUUUUCUAUUUUAGUAUCUUCUGCUACCCUCUCCACACAAAGUCAACUGAAGGCUUCACUAGUAGAAGCCCCUGCUCUGCCUGUAAAGAGACUUGUGCCCCUUCCAAAGGAGCUGAUGUUUCUGAUGCCGGAACCAUCCGCCCCAAUGCCAACAGAGACCAACAUCACUGUUCCAGUGGCUCCUGAGAUUUCUGCAGAGACCUGUCAACCGACACUACAUCCACCAGCUGCACCAACACAAAGUGAG